UGAGUUCGUUGUUGAAGAUGAGUCCACACAACAUUUGGUUGUGAAGGUUUAUGAUGAUGAAGGACUUCAGGCUUCUGAGCUUAUAGGAUGUGCUCAGAUUCAGUUAAGCGAACUUCAACCCGGUAAGGUGAAGGAUGUGUGGUUGAAGCUGGUUAAAGAUCUGGAGGUUAUCAGAGAUAAUAAAAACAGGGGGCAGGUAACUACACAAUAAAUCCCCCUUACCCUCGCAAGAAAAAUAAAUAAAUAAAUAAACCAUCAAUCUGCUUAGGAAAAGUUUUUUACUGCAUCUAUGUAGAAUCAAAUAGAAUUAGUUUCUGGAACCCUGAACUAUUUCCCAUCAACACUAUCAUUUUGGUUUUGGUCUCACUGUGUAGUUUGUCAAGUAUAGAAAAAAGCGGUAAAACCCUAACCUUUAGUUGGAUGGGAAACAAUUAAAUUAAAACUCUUGACUGUCAUUAUCCCACUCAAAACACUUGAAUGUAGAUCUAAACGAGCCAAACCAGUCCUUUUGUUCUGCCAAGAAGACCUCUGGUUCUUUAUAUGAUAUGUACCUUCCUUUUUUGAUUUUCUGUUGAAUGUCUGUAUUAGGUGCACUUGGAGCUCCUUUACUGUCCUUUCGGUAUGGAAAAUGGCUUUACAAAUCCAUUUGCCUCUGAUUUUAGAAUGACUUCCUUGGAGAGCGUACUAAAGAAUCGGGCAAAUGGAACGGAAGCUACCGAAAGCGAACAAGCUGUCACACAGAAGAGGAAAGAGGUUAUUAUUAGAGGAGUACUUUCUGUCACAGUAAUAUCUGCAGAAGACUUGCCUGCAACAGAUCUUGUUGGAAAGUCUGACCCAUAUGUUGUACUCACCAUGAAAAAAUCAGGAAUGAAGAACAAAACAAGGGUAAUGCUCCUUUGCCUAAAAUUAAGAUCCUUUGUUUUUGAACAUAUAGAUUUAGAAGUAACACUGUUGACAAUUUCAUUCUCCCUAUGUGAUCUUGAACUUAAAAUU
rnacentral:lncRNA from 1 species